GGGUUGUGAGGUUAAGCGACUAAGCGUACACGGUGGAUGCCCUGGCAGUCAGAGGCGAUGAAGGACGUGCUAAUCUGCGAUAAGCGUCGGUGAGGUGAUAUGAACCGUUAUAACCGGCGAUUUCCGAAUGGGGAAACCCAGUGUGUUUCGACACACUAUCAUUAACUGAAUCCAUAGGUUAAUGAGGCGAACCGGGGGAACUGAAACAUCUAAGUACCCCGAGGAAAAGAAAUCAACCGAGAUUCCCCCAGUAGCGGCGAGCGAACGGGGAGGAGCCCAGAGCCUGAAUCAGUGUGUGUGUUAGUGGAAGCGUCUGGAAAGGCGCGCGAUACAGGGUGACAGCCCCGUACACAAAAAUGCACAUACUGUGAGCUCGAUGAGUAGGGCGGGACACGUGGUAUCCUGUCUGAAUAUGGGGGACCAUCCUCCAAGGCUAAAUACUCCUGACUGACCGAUAGUGAACCAGUACCGUGAGGGAAAGGCGAAAAGAACCCCGGCGAGGGGAGUGAAAAAGAACCUGAAACCGUGUACGUACAAGCAGUGGGAGCCUCUUAAUGGGGUGACUGCGUACCUUUUGUAUAAUGGGUCAGCGACUUAUAUUCUGUAGCAAGGUUAACCGAAUAGGGGAGCCGAAGGGAAACCGAGUCUUAACUGGGCGUUAAGUUGCAGGGUAUAGACCCGAAACCCGGUGAUCUAGCCAUGGGCAGGUUGAAGGUUGGGUAACACUAACUGGAGGACCGAACCGACUAAUGUUGAAAAAUUAGCGGAUGACUUGUGGCUGGGGGUGAAAGGCCAAUCAAACCGGGAGAUAGCUGGUUCUCCCCGAAAGCUAUUUAGGUAGCGCCUCGUGAAUUCAUCUCCGGGGGUAGAGCACUGUUUCGGCAAGGGGUCAUCCCGACUUACCAACCCGAUGCAAACUGCGAAUACCGGAGAAUGUUAUCACGGGAGACACACGGCGGGUGCUAACGUCCGUCGUGAAGAGGGAAACAACCCAGACCGCCAGCUAAGGUCCCAAAGUCAUGGUUAAGUGGGAAACGAUGUGGGAAGGCCCAGACAGCCAGGAUGUUGGCUUAGAAGCAGCCAUCAUUUAAAGAAAGCGUAAUAGCUCACUGGUCGAGUCGGCCUGCGCGGAAGAUGUAACGGGGCUAAACCAUGCACCGAAGCUGCGGCAGCGACACUAUGUGUUGUUGGGUAGGGGAGCGUUCUGUAAGCCUGUGAAGGUGGCCUGUGAGGGUUGCUGGAGGUAUCAGAAGUGCGAAUGCUGACAUAAGUAACGAUAAAGCGGGUGAAAAGCCCGCUCGCCGGAAGACCAAGGGUUCCUGUCCAACGUUAAUCGGGGCAGGGUGAGUCGACCCCUAAGGCGAGGCCGAAAGGCGUAGUCGAUGGGAAACAGGUUAAUAUUCCUGUACUUGGUGUUACUGCGAAGGGGGACGGAGAAGGCUAUGUUGGCCGGGCGACGGUUGUCCCGGUUUAAGCGUGUAGGCUGGUUUUCCAGGCAAAUCCGGAAAACCAAGGCUGAGGCGUGAUGACGAGGCACUACGGUGCUGAAGCGACAAAUGCCCUGCUUCCAGGAAAAGCCUCUAAGCAUCAGGUAACAUCAAAUCGUACCCCAAACCGACACAGGUGGUCAGGUAGAGAAUACCAAGGCGCUUGAGAGAACUCGGGUGAAGGAACUAGGCAAAAUGGUGCCGUAACUUCGGGAGAAGGCACGCUGAUAUGUAGGUGAAGCGACUUGCUCGUGGAGCUGAAAUCAGUCGAAGAUACCAGCUGGCUGCAACUGUUUAUUAAAAACACAGCACUGUGCAAACACGAAAGUGGACGUAUACGGUGUGACGCCUGCCCGGUGCCGGAAGGUUAAUUGAUGGGGUUAGCGGCAACGCGAAGCUCUUGAUCGAAGCCCCGGUAAACGGCGGCCGUAACUAUAACGGUCCUAAGGUAGCGAAAUUCCUUGUCGGGUAAGUUCCGACCUGCACGAAUGGCGUAAUGAUGGCCAGGCUGUCUCCACCCGAGACUCAGUGAAAUUGAACUCGCUGUGAAGAUGCAGUGUACCCGCGGCAAGACGGAAAGACCCCGUGAACCUUUACUAUAGCUUGACACUGAACAUUGAGCCUUGAUGUGUAGGAUAGGUGGGAGGCUUUGAAGUGUGGACGCCAGUCUGCAUGGAGCCGACCUUGAAAUACCACCCUUUAAUGUUUGAUGUUCUAACGUUGGCCCGUAAUCCGGGUUGCGGACAGUGUCUGGUGGGUAGUUUGACUGGGGCGGUCUCCUCCUAAAGAGUAACGGAGGAGCACGAAGGUUGGCUAAUCCUGGUCGGACAUCAGGAGGUUAGUGCAAUGGCAUAAGCCAGCUUGACUGCGAGCGUGACGGCGCGAGCAGGUGCGAAAGCAGGUCAUAGUGAUCCGGUGGUUCUGAAUGGAAGGGCCAUCGCUCAACGGAUAAAAGGUACUCCGGGGAUAACAGGCUGAUACCGCCCAAGAGUUCAUAUCGACGGCGGUGUUUGGCACCUCGAUGUCGGCUCAUCACAUCCUGGGGCUGAAGUAGGUCCCAAGGGUAUGGCUGUUCGCCAUUUAAAGUGGUACGCGAGCUGGGUUUAGAACGUCGUGAGACAGUUCGGUCCCUAUCUGCCGUGGGCGCUGGAGAACUGAGGGGGGCUGCUCCUAGUACGAGAGGACCGGAGUGGACGCAUCACUGGUGUUCGGGUUGUCAUGCCAAUGGCACUGCCCGGUAGCUAAAUGCGGAAGAGAUAAGUGCUGAAAGCAUCUAAGCACGAAACUUGCCCCGAGAUGAGUUCUCCCUGACUCCUUGAGGGUCCUGAAGGAACGUUGAAGACGACGACGUUGAUAGGCCGGGUGUGUAAGCGCAGCGAUGCGUUGAGCUAACCGGUACUAAUGAACCGUGAGGCUUAACCUUACAACGCCGAAG
rnacentral:rRNA from 1 species